GACGAACGCUGGCGGCGUGCUUAACACAUGCAAGUCGAACGGAAAGGCCUUUUCGGUGGUACUCGAGUGGCGAACGGGUGAGUAACACGUGGGUGAUCUGCCCUGCACUCUGGGAUAAGCCUGGGAAACUGGGUCUAAUACCGGAUAGGACCGCACUUUAGUGUGUGUGGUGGAAAGUUUUUUGGGUGUAGGAUGAGCCCGCGGCCUAUCAGCUUGUUGGUGGGGUAAUGGCCUACCAAGGCGGCGACGGGUAGCCGGACUGAGAGGUUGGUCGGCCACACUGGGACUGAGAUGCGGCCCAGGCGCCUACGGGAGGCAGCAGUGGGGAAUCUUGCACCAUGGGCGCCAGCCUGAUGCAGCGACGCCGCGUGGGGGAUGACGGCCUUCGGGUUGUAAACUCCUUUCGCCAGGGACGAAGCGUUUUGUGACGGUACCUGGAGAAGAAGCACCGGCUAACUACGUG
rnacentral:rRNA from 1 species